rnacentral:lncRNA from 1 species
CAUUGAGAGCAAGAAUGUUGCUACUCAUGGGUAAGUUCGAAGUGUUAGGAAUUCUGUUCUCUCUACUUUUUCUUUUUUUCUCCUUGAAGGGGAGAAUAAAAAUAAGACCAAGAAACCUGAAUUAUGGAGGAGAUUUCGAGCAAGUUGAGAAGGUGUACAAGUAGGUGAGGUCAUACCUGAAAUAUAAGUGAAACGAGAUUUUAAGAUACAAACUGGAGAUGGUCUAAAUUCCAUUAUGAAGUACCGGAAGAAAUAAGGGAAAUUCCAUAUAUGAGAAGGCUAAAACAAGAAUCUCUUGUCAAUAGGCAAAAAAAUGGCUUAGUUAGUUAAGCAAUUGGAAAGAAAGUUUGAUCAUUACGAUAGACUCAUUUAUUUGAAGUUUGUGUCUUCUGCCAUUUCGGCCUUACAAGCUGUUAUUUGUUCUCAUUUCUCCAUGUCGCACCAUUAUUAUGGGUAUACCUUGAUACUAAGCUCUUAACAGAAUGAUACUAGUUCAGGAACUGCUACUCAUGCCUUUGAGAUUGCUGUCCCAAGGAUAUAUUAGUAUCUAAAAAUGAACUCUAAGAACUAAUAUAAAUACAUGUCUUUUAUUAAUUAGUUCAUUAGAAAAUGUACAUGGCAGGUGACAAGGAGAGAUAAUGGAUUAAUAUUAUGGGCAUUAAGGUUUCUGUAAGCUAUAUCAUUUGCAAAUUGAUAAGAGCUUUAGAAAUUAUCUUUUAAAAUAAUGAGGGUAAGUACAUAGUUGAAAUCCUAAGCGGGGAUGGUCGUAUUGUAGUAAGUUGGUAUUAAAAUUACUAUUUGUUUGAGGAGAUCUAUUUGUGUCUUGUGGUGCUCUUCAUUCUUGAGGUGGUAAAGUUGUUUAGCCCCUUAUUUAAUUUAUAUAUUUUGAGUUGUGGUUCUGUUGUUAUUCACUGCAAAAGUAAAAGGAUUGAUCUCUUGACCUAUUUAGUGUGGAUUAUAUCGAGAAAUGUAUAUUAUUAGCCGCUCCCAAAAAUAAUAGACAACAAAAUAUAUUUUUUUUGUAUGUAUGUGUAUUAUAUACAAAAAACACAUAUUUUAUACACUUUUAGCUAGCAGAUGCAACUAGUUUCGGCCGAGCAGCCAAUUUUGUAUUUUGCCGAUUAUAUAUGGUCGGGCUAAUUGCAGAGAGGAAGAAGUAAUGGAGACUCUGUCCUUGAAAAUGUAUUAGAGACCCCUGUAGGACAGAAAAGGUGUGAUAAUGAACUCAAUGAUGGCAUUGCGAUAUACAUUACUAAUAAGACCGUGAAUAAGCUUCCUGCAACAAAAGGCAGUAAACAGGAGCCAGCAAUAGGCAGUAAACACGAGCUGAG